rnacentral:rRNA from 1 species
GAUGAACGCUAGCUACAGGCCUAACACAUGCAAGUCGAGCGGACGAGAUUUCUUCGGAGAUCGAGUUAGUGGCGAACGGGUGAGUAACGCGUGAGCAACCUGCCUUUCAGAGGGGGACAACAGUUGGAAACGACUGCUAAUACCGCAUAACGCAUUCGAGGGGCAUCCCUUGAAUGCCAAAGAUUUAUCGCUGAAAGAUGGGCUCGCGUCUGAUUAGCUAGUUGGUGGGGUAACGGCUCACCAAGGCGACGAUCAGUAGCCGACCUGAGAGGGUGACCGGCCACAUUGGGACUGAGACACGGCCCAA